rnacentral:rRNA from 1 species
CUUUAAAUAAACCUGCUACCUCACCCCUAGCAGCACCUUUUAGUUGGGGCAACUAUGGAGCAAAACAAAAUCUCCACGUAAAACUUACCACCACAACAGGCCCACAAGCCACCANNCAACCUUGACCCAGUACNACUGAUCAACGAACCAAGUUACCCCGGGGAUAACAGCGCUAUCCUCUUUAAGAGCCCCUAUCGCCAAGAGGGCUUACGACCUCGAUGUUGGAUCAGGACACCCCAGUGGCGCAGCCGCUACUAAAGGUCUGUUUGUUCAACAGUUAAA